rnacentral:rRNA from 1 species
GACGAACCGUGCAAACGUUGUUCGGAAUCACUGGGCGUAAAGCGCACGUAGGCGGCUUUCUAAGUCAGGGGUGAAAUCCUGGAGCUCAACUCCAGAACUGCCUUUGAUACUGGAGAGCUUGAGUCCGGGAGAGGUGAGUGGAACUCCGAGUGUAGAGGUGAAAUUCGUAGAUAUUCGGAAGAACACCAGUGGCGAAGGCGGCUCACUGGCCCGGUACUGACGCUGAUGUGCGAAAGCGUGGGGAGCAAACAGG